UGCAAAGAAACAUUAGUGGAUGAGGCGAGGCUGUGUGGUAGUGUCAGCGGGGGCCCACUCGGGAGCCUGCCUCCUCCAUCGAGUCAGCUGUGCGACUUUGCCAUCUCUGAAUAUGCCUGCUCUUCGGUCGCAUCUUCUCUGUCCCCUGACGCCCUCGUCACGCUGCUGAGUUGCAAGGCACAGAGCAACCCGACCACCAGCGCAGAGGCGUGGAAGCUUUUCUUCCAGAAAGUGGCCGGAGUUCUGGAGGAGGCUCUGUCAGCGUACUCCAACAAAAGCCUCGGUGACCCUCAGCCUGACUCCCGUGUUCUCGAUGCCAUUGGAGAGGUGAAAGUCAACAACUUCAGCAGCGC